UACGUAGGGUGCAAGCGUUGUCCGGAAUUAUUGGGCGUAAAGAGCUCGUAGGCGGUUUUGUCGCGUCGAAUGUGAAAUCCCGGGGCUCAACCCCGGGCCUGCAUUCGAUACGGGCAGACUAGAGUUCGGUAGGGGAGUCUGGAAGUUCCUGGUGUAGCGGUGAAAUGCGGCAGAUAUCAGGAGGAACACCGGUGGCGAAGGCGGGACUCUGGGGCCGAUACUGACGCUGAGGAGCGAAAGCGUGGGGAGCGAACCGG
rnacentral:rRNA from 1 species